rnacentral:rRNA from 1 species
UACGUAGGAUCCAAGCGUUAUCCGGAAUUACUGGGCGUAAAGCGUACGUAGGUGGAAAUUUAAGUGAGAUGCGAAAUCUGGCGGCUCAACCGUCUAGACUGUGUCUCAUACUGGGUUUCUUGAGGUUGGCAGAGGCAAGUGGAAUUUCCGGUGUAGCAGUGAAAUGCGUAGAGAUCGGAAGGAACACCAAUGGCGAAGGCAGCUUGCUGGGCCACACCUGACACUGAGGUACGAAAGCGUGGGGAGCGAACAGG